CGGUGUUUAACUGGCGUGAUGUGGGACGUCCUACCGGUGGGCUUAGCCUCGCGAGGGGCGGCCCAACUAAUAUCCCGUCGCGGUGCUCUUUACUGAGUGUCGAGUCGGGCCGGUACGUUUACUUUGAACAAAUUAGAGUGCUUAAAGCAGGCUAUCCUCGCCUGAAUACUGCGUGCAUGGAAUAAUGGAAUAGGACCUCGGUUCUAUUUUGCUGGUUUUCGGAACCCCGAGGUAAUGAUUAAUAGGGACAGAUGGGGGCAUUCGUAUUGCGACGUUAGGGGUGAAAUUCUUGGAUCGUCGCAAGACGGACAGAAGCGAAAGCAUUUGCCAAAAAUGUUUUCAUUAAUCAAGAACGAAAGUUAGAGGUUCGAAGGCGAUCAGAUACCGCCCUAGUUCUAACCAUAAACGAUGCCAGCUAGCGAUCCGCCGAAGUUCCUCCGAUGACUCGGCGGGCAGCUUCCGGGAAACCAAAGCUUUUGGGUUCCGGGGGAAGUAUGGUUGCAAAGCUGAAACUUAAAGGAAUUGACGGAAGGGCACCACCAGGAGUGGAGCCUGCGGCUUAAUUUGACUCAACACGGGAAACCUCACCAGGCCCAGACACCGGAAGGAUUGACAGAUUGAUAGCUCUUUCUUGAUUCGGUGGGUGGUGGUGCAUGGCCGUUCUUAGUUGGUGGAGCGAUUUGUCUGGUUAAUUCCGAUAACGAACGAGACUCUAGCCUGCUAAAUAGGCGUACCUUAUGGUAUCGCGAAGGCCCCCGGCUUCGGCCGGUGGGUUUUUACUACCAACGUACAAACAAAUCUUCUUAGAGGGACAGGCGG
rnacentral:rRNA from 1 species